UCUUAGGGAUGACACACUUGUCCUUGCUGAGAUCAUAGUUUGGUGAUGAGAAUCUUGCUUUUUGUACUCAUCAGUUGAGCCAGA
ensembl:snoRNA